rnacentral:rRNA from 1 species
AUGAACGCUGGCGGCGUGCCUAAUACAUGCAAGUCGAGCGAACGGACGAGAAGCUUGCUUCUCUGAUGUUAGCGGCGGACGGGUGAGUAACACGUGGAUAACCUACCUAUAAGACUGGGAUAACUUCGGGAAACCGGAGCUAAUACCGGAUAAUAUUUUGAACCGCAUGGUUCAAAAGUGAAAGACGGUCUUGCUGUCACUUAUAGAUGGAUCCGCGCUGCAUUAGCUAGUUGGUAAGGUAACGGCUUACCAAGGCAACGAUGCAUAGCCGACCUGAGAGGGUGAUCGGCCACGCUGGACCUGAGCCACGGUCCAGACUCCUACGGGAGGCAGCAGUAGGGAAUCUUCCGCAAUGGGCGAAAGCCUGACGGAGCAACGCCGCGUGAGUGAUGAAGGUCUUCGGAUCGUAAAACUCUGUUAUUAGGGAAGAACAUAUGUGUAAGUAACUGUGCACAUCUUGACGGUACCUAAUCAGAAAGCCACGGCGAACUACGU